GGCCGAGUAGGCGGCGAGUUGUAGCCUCGUACACGGGCGUGCAUGCCCCCCAGCCAG
rnacentral:tRNA from 1 species